rnacentral:piRNA from 1 species
UCCGGUGGAGAAUUAAGAGGGGCCCAAGC